rnacentral:rRNA from 1 species
AUUGAACGCUGGCGGCAGGCCUAACACAUGCAAGUCGAGUGGAUGAAGGGAGCUUGCUCCUGGAUUCAGCGGCGGACGGGUGAGUAAUGCCUAGGAAUCUGCCUGGUAGUGGGGGAUAACGUCCGGAAACGGGCGCUAAUACCGCAUACGUCCUGAGGGAGAAAGUGGGGGAUCUUCGGACCUCACGCUAUCAGAUGAGCCUAGGUCGGAUUAGCUAGUUGGUGGGGUAAAGGCCUACCAAGGCGACGAUCCGUAACUGGUCUGAGAGGAUGAUCAGUCACACUGGAACUGAGACACGGUCCAGACUCCUACGGGAGGCAGCAGUGGGGAAUAUUGGACAAUGGGCGAAAGCCUGAUCCAGCCAUGCCGCGUGUGUGAAGAAGGUCUUCGGAUUGUAAAGCACUUUAAGUUGGGAGGAAGGGCAGUAAGUUAAUACCUUGCUGUUUUGACGUUACCAACAGAAUAAGCACCGGCUAGCUUCGUG